CAGCGAGAGAGCGUUGCCGCAGGCAACGACCCGAAGGGCGAAGCGCGCAGCGCUGAGUAAUCCUUCCCCCACCACCA
rnacentral:sRNA from 1 species